rnacentral:rRNA from 1 species
UGGGGAAUAUUGGACAAUGGGGGCAACCCGUGAUCCAGCCAUGCCGCGUGUGUGAAGAAGGCCUUCGGGUUGUAAAGCACUUUAAGCAGGGAGGAAGGCUUCAAGGCUAAUAUCCUUGAGGAUUGACGUUACCUGCAGAAUAAGCACCGGCUAACUCCGUGCCAGCAGCCGCGGUAAUACGGAGGGUGCGAGCGUUAAUCGGAAUUACUGGGCGUAAAGCGCACGUAGGCGGUCAUUUAAGUCGGACGUGAAAUCCCCGGGCUCAACCUGGGAACUGCGUUCGAUACUGGAUGGCUAGAGUGCGGUAGAGGGGGUGGAAUUCCAGGUGUAGCGGUGAAAUGCGCAGAUAUCAGGAGGAACACCGGUGGCGAAGGCGGCUUGCUGGGCCUGUCCUGACGCUGAGGAGCGAAAGCGUGGGGAGCGAACAGGAUUAGAUACC